UAUGUACUUAAUGUCAAUUCGAAAUUCUAAGUAUGCUGUUUUUGUCUACUCGACUAGGCUCACGCCUUGUUCAAACCUUAAAAUAGUUUAUGAAAAU